CCCGCGGGGUGGUCAGGGCAGCCGACGUUUUCAGGGAGAAAAAUGCCUAGUGGGCUCCGCUAGUAAGGCGACUCGCUUCACCCCUUGCGUUUUAUUUUGCGUCUGAAAGCGCCUUUCUGCUGGAUGAGGCUGGAGCUUGCUUCUCGCGCUCCAUUUUUUUAUUAUUAUUGUUUUGGCAAGGACAAGAAUCAAGCUGCUCAGUCGUUUGAGUAUUGUAGGUGCUGCUACCCCAUCUUUUUAUUGAGCCUGUUUCUUUGCAGUUGCUUUGUACAUACGUUUUAUAAUUGUUUAUUUUUUCAUGUGUUGUGUAUUCUACUCAAGACCUGUUUUUACGAUGUAAUAAGCAUGUCACUAUUUUUUUCAACCCGUUAACCAAGAGGAACGUUUAGUGUUUGCAAAAAUUCAGAAAUUCUAAGAGAACAAAUACGUUUUUCACAGAAUGUAGUGUACAAAUCAGUGCUAGCCACAUCAAUCAGCAAAAGUUUUUCCAGCUCCCUGAUUCAGUGACUCAAACAACCCAAUUAUGGGGAUGUUUUGAUGUGCAAGUGAUAACUUCCCUGCAAGAAACAAAAUUUUG